rnacentral:rRNA from 1 species
UACGGGGGGAGCAAGCGUUGUUCGGAUUUACUGGGCGUAAAGGGCGCGUGGGCGGUCAGCACAAGUCAGUUGUGAAAUCUCCGGGCUUAACUCGGAAAGGUCAACUGAUACUGUGCGACUAGAGUGCGGAAGGGGCAACUGGAAUUCUCGGUGUAGCGGUGAAAUGCGUAGAUAUCGAGAGGAACACCUGCGGCGAAGGCGGGUUGCUGGGCCGACACUGACGCUGAUGCGCGAAAGCGUGGGGAGCAAACAGG